rnacentral:rRNA from 1 species
GAGUUGAUCAUGGCUCAGAUUGAACGCUGGCGGCAGGCCUAACACAUGCAAGUCGAGCGCGAAAUCACUUCGGUGAGAGUAGAGCGGCGGACGGGUGAGUAACGCGUAAGAAUCUACCUAGUAGUGGGGGACAACUCGGGGAAACUCGAGCUAAUACCGCAUACGCCCUACGGGGGAAAGCGGGGGACCUUCGGGCCUCGCGCUAUUAGAUGAGCUUGCGUUGGAUUAGCUUGUUGGUGAGGUAAUGGCUCACCAAGGCGACGAUCCAUAGCUGGUCUGAGAGGAUGAUCAGCCACACCGGGACUGAGACACGGCCCGGACUCCUACGGGAGGCAGCAGUGGGGAAUAUUGCGCAAUGGGCGAAAGCCUGACGCAGCCAUGCCGCGUGUGUGAAGAAGGCCUUAGGGUUGUAAAGCACUUUCAAUUGGGAGGAAAAGCUAGUGUUUAAUACGCACUAGCCGUGACGUUACCU